rnacentral:pre_miRNA from 2 species
UAGGGUGACCAACCAUCCCAGCUUGCUUGGGACUGAGGGGUUUCCCAAGACACAGAUCUUUCAGUGCUGAAGAUGGAACUGUCCCAGGCAAACCAGGAUGGCUGGUCACCCUGACAGUGA